rnacentral:rRNA from 1 species
UACGUAGGGUGCGAGCGUUAAUCGGAAUUACUGGGCGUAAAGCGUGCGCAGGCGGUUCGUUAAGACAGAUGUGAAAUCCCCGGGCUUAACCUGGGAACUGCAUUUGUGACUGGCGAGCUAGAGUAUGGGCAGAGGGGGGGUAGAAUUCCACGUGUAGCAGUGAAAUGCGUGAGAGAUGUGGAGGAACACCGAUGGCGAAGGCAGCCCCCUGGGUUAACACUGACGCUCAGGCACGAAAGGCGUGGGGAGCAAACGAGGAU